rnacentral:rRNA from 1 species
GACGAACGCUGGCGGCGUGCCUACUACAUGCAAGUCGAGCGCGCGUCCUUCGGGAUGGCGAGCGGCGGACGGGUGAGUAACACGUGAAUAACUUGUCCAGAAGACGGGGAUAACCCUUGGAAACGAGGGAUAAUACCGGAUACGCCUCUUUGGCCGCAUGGUCUGGAGAGGGAAAGAUGCCUUCGGGUGUCACUUUUGGAGAGAUUCGCGGUGCAUUAGCUAGUUGGUGGAGGUAAUGGCUCACCAAGGCAACGAUGCAUAGCCGGCCUGAGAGGGUGGACGGCCACACUGGGACUGAGACACGGCCCAGACUCCUACGGGAGGCAGCAGUAGGGAAUUUUCCGCAAUGGGCGAAAGCCUGACGGAGCGACGCCGCGUGGGUGAAGACGGCCUUUGGGUUGUAAAGCCCUGUUCAUCGGGAAGAAGAAAUGACGGUACCGGUGAAGAAAGCCCCGGCUAACUACGUGCCAGCAGCCGCCGUAAUAC